rnacentral:tRNA from 1 species
GGAGGGUACGCGAAUGGUUAGCAACCGGUCUUGAAAACCGGGGUCCGAAAGGAUUGGGGGUUCGAAUCCCCUGCCCUCCGCCA